rnacentral:tRNA from 1 species
AAGCUCUGUGGUGUAAUUGCAUAUUGAAUUGCAAAUUCAAGGAAGCAGCUUCAAUCCUGCCGGGGCUUC